AAGGGAGAGAGUGAAAUAAGCACCAGCAGAGAUUAGGAGACAGCAGGCACCGAGUGGGGAGCUCGCACCCCCUUUCCAUGCCUGCCCUUCUGACCGACCGUCUCCAGAAGAAGCAACCUCCAGAAGUUGUGGUCAGUGACGGAUUGACAGCAACGCCGAGUCUCGGGCUCGUGGUUUGAGAGCACUGGUCUAGCAUCCGUUGUUCUGGAGAAGUCCUGUUGGCAGUCUGGUCUCGGUAUUUUAUCUCUAUAAGAAUCAUGAUGUUUCCAAGGCAACACAUGGCUUGGGGGAAAUUGGAGAGAAUACUCUCGAUGCAAAAGGAUAACAUCACAGCUACCACAACAAUGCUAUCCUGCGUACAAAUGUCGGAUGUUCAGAGGGACCCUGUCAUCUUGAUUAGGAUCUAGGAGGCUGGAGUUUCAAAGUGGAAUAAUAGUGCCCAUGUUCCAUAAAUUUGCGAGCCCUCCAUAUAGGGCAGGGGAGAAGGGAACAUGCUUAAAACAAUGCACGGGACUUGGUUCCUGGGACUAUUCAGGUAUGGGAUGAUUGCCAGGGAGCAUUUUAUUUCCUUGCCAGGAUGAAGUAGAUGCUUUUGAAUCUCUUUUCUAUUACAGUUGUGUAGUGGGAGCAGAAGGUUCCUUUUCUUAUCCAC